rnacentral:rRNA from 1 species
GGGUUGUAAACCCUUCAGCAGGGACGAAUCAAGACGGUACCUGCAGAAGAAGCCCCGGCUAACUACGUGCCAGCAGCCGCGGUAACACGUAGGGGGCAAGCGUUGUCCGGAUUAUUGGGCGUAAAGAGCUCGUAGGCGGCUGAGUAAGUCGGGUGUUAAAUCCCCAGGCUCAACCUGGGACACCACCCGAUACUGCUCUGGCUAGAGUCCGGUAGGGGAGCGUGGAAUUCCUGGUGUAGCGGUGAAAAUGCGCAGAUAUCAGGAGGAACACCAGCGGCGAAGGCGGCGCUCUGGGCCGGAACUGACGCUGAGGAGCGAAAGCGUGGGUAGCAAACAGGAUUAGAUACCCUGGUAGUCCACGCCGUAAACGUUGGGCACUAGGUGUGGGGUCUAUUCAACGGACUCCGUGCCGUAGCUAACGCAUUAAGUGCCCCGCCUGGGGAGUACGGCCGCAAGGCUAAAAACUCAAAGGAAUUGACGGG